rnacentral:rRNA from 1 species
CAGAAGAUGACGGGAGAAGGAAAUCAACUGACAUGGGAUGGCGUGAAAUCUAGCCUCAUCUCAACUCCCCCCUCCCACUUUUACUCGCUCACCUUUUGCUUUAGGACAAGCCUAUCAUCAGUUCUUAGCACCGACGGCGGCGGCGACUCAGAUCUGUGAUAGCGGCGGCGGCGGCAGCAUCACUCUCCGGCAGCACGAGCUGCUUCUCCCCUUCUUCUUGGCCUUCACCUGGUCCUCCUCGUCUCAGCCAUGCCCCCCCCCCCUCCUUCUCGUCGUCUCCGAAGCCAGUAAGCAUCAUACAACCUCCAUCCCCCUACCAUGUUAGGUCGUUUGAUAGGCUGUUAGGCAAUGUGUAGGAUCGAUUUCUCCAUUGCUCACCACACCAUCGAUGUCGUCUAGGUUAUGGACGAACGGAUGAAGCUGAUAGUUCAAGGAACAACACUGAUAGCUGUGAUUCAGGUCUGGCUCAUGUUGGUCCACAAGAGACUUAUUCGUCGUGGUGACAAGCCUGACAUUCGUUAUACUCCAAAGUAAACCCGUGAUAAGUAGAGGACAGCGAAUCUGAACUACAUCUACACCUGCAACGACAUAAAGACUCCCUGGAUGCUUCGAAUGAAAAGAGCAUCUUUCAUCAGGCCUGUGCAGACGCUCGGGGCAGUGGGCUGCUAAAAGAUAGCAUCCACACUAACGUAGAAGAGCAAGUUGCCAUGUUCCUUCAUGUUAUAGGUCAUAAUCAGAGCUUCAUGGUUAUCCACAACAUGUUCAGGAGAUCAAUGAAGACCAUUUUCAGAUAGUGCAAGCAAGUGUUGUAUGUUGUUUGGGAGCUCAGAAGAGACCAAGUCACUUACCGGGCAAACUUCUAGUCAGAUUCGCACUAGGUCAAAAUGGUAUCUAUAUUUCAAGGUGAUCACUACUUGUAAAUUCAUGCUUUGACAUGCUUGUAUUGUUCUGGUAUAACAAUAAACACCAUCUUUUCAUGCCAUUUCGAGAUUGCAUUGAC